GUCCACGCUGUAAACGAUGGGCACUAGGUGUUCGGGGUAUUGACCCCCUGAGUGCCGCAGCUAACGCAUUAAGUGCCCCGCCUGGGGACUACGGCCGCAAGGCUAAAACUCAAAGGAAUUGACGGGGGCCCCGCACAAGCGGUGGAGCAUGUGGUUUAAUUCGACGCAACGCGAAGAACCUUACCUGGGCUAGACAACACCGGACAACCCCGGAAACGGGGUCUUCCCGCAAGGGACUGGUGGUUCAGGUGCUGCAUGGCUGUCGU
rnacentral:rRNA from 1 species